AUAAUGUAUUUUUUUUUUAUUGUAACGUUUUGAAGACACUCCGCGCAGCGUGGAGCAUAAAGGCGCCAAGAUCACCCCGCGCAGCCCAAAGCGAUCUCUGCGCAAUUCGGAGCGUGGUCACUCCGAGCAGCUUGGAGUGAUUCUGCCGAAUGAGUCGUGCUUUCUAAACUCAAAUUUUUCAUGUUCUUCGAGAUAUUAACAAACUUGAGAUUCAAUAAAUGUUCUUCGAGAUAUUAAAAAACUUGAGGUUCAGUAAAAGGAGUUGUUCAACAGCUACUGAUAGAUUCAAUAUUUUUUGGCCAAAUGAAAAUGAUUGAUAUUUGCAUGAAUAAGUUUUAGGUUUCAUUUUAGCUUUGAUAUUCAUAUUAUUGAAGAAUUUGUUGGCUGAUGAAUUUGUAUCCAAAAUAUUCUUUGAAUUCCUCUACAUUUUUUCUUAUCCCAAGACAUGGUGGAAAUGAUGGAUUGCAUGCGUUCAUUCGUUUGACUAUGCAGUGACAGACAUGGUAUGUUAUACUAUUCAUGUAUAUAAUGCAGAUUAAAUAUUUGCAGUAAAGAAAAGUGACACAUAAUUUUGCAUGAUUUUCCUAAU
rnacentral:lncRNA from 1 species